rnacentral:miRNA from 1 species
CGUGCUGCGGAACCAUGCGGUGGGGCCUUCCACCAGCGUGUCCGCUGCGCACGGCGACAUCCACGGCCUAUUGGGACC